AUGGCGGAGCUCGAGGCCGGGUCCAUCUCCAUGGCGGCCGGCGGCGGCGGCCGACUACGGAACGCCCUGAGCGGCGUGCUGUGUGCUUUCACCCUCCUCCUUAUCGGCGUCCUCGCCUUCUCCAUCCGCCUCUUCUCCGUGAUCAAGUACGAGAGCGUGAUCCACGAGUUCGAUCCCUACUUCAACUACCGCGUCACUCAGUUUUUGUCAAAGAGUGGAAUCUACGAGUUUUGGAACUGGUUUGACGAUCGAACAUGGUACCCCCUCGGACGUGUUAUUGGCGGCACCGUGGCCGGAGAAGAUGGCCGAGCUAGAGGAGGACGUGGUUCCUGGGAUGAUCGGUGGAAGGUUGUACUGGGAACACUUCUGGCAGCAUUGGUACCUGUGGUUGGUUUUAAUGCAAUAUUGACAUCAGAGCACUUUGCAUCAUUUCUGGUGUUUAUAAUCCUCCAUGUGGUUGCUCUUGUGUAUUACAUCAAAGGACUUUUAACUCCUCGGCUGUUCAAAGUGGCCAUGACAUUUGUACUAACGGUUGGCUUAGCCCUUUGUUUCGCUGUAGUAGCGGUACUUGCUGCAUUGGUCGCAUCUAGCCCAACAAAAGGUUGGAGUGGGCGCAGUUUGAGUCUACUUGACCCAACAUAUGCAAGCAAGUACAUCCCUAUCAUUGCUAGCGUGAGCGAACAUCAACCACCUACCUGGCCUUCUUACUUUAUGGCUAUCAAUGUGCUAGCCUUCUUAGUUCCUGCUGGGAUCAUAUCAUGCUUCUUACCUUUAUCUGAUGCAAGCUCAUUUUUGGUCUUGUACUUGGUAACUUCAGUAUAUUUCUCUGGGGUAAUGGUACGACUGAUGCUUGUUCUUGCCCCUGCUGUGUGCAUUUUGUCUGGGAUUGCUCUGUCAGAAGCUUUUAAUGUCCUCACACGAUCAAUGAAAUUUCAGCGCCCAAUAUCAGAUGAUACCCUUCCAACUGGAGGAGAUAGUACCCCAGGGAGUUCCAGUACAGCCACUAUCACAACUUCCACGAAAAAUGCGAACAUAAAAAAAGAAAAAAUGGGGACUAUUUCAAAGGAAAGAUCAUCAAAGAAGAGUCGGAAGGAAACAGAAUUGGUGGGAAGUUCUCCUGUUAGGCCCGAAAAGGAGGAGAAGCUUUGUGUACUGCCUUCUGAAGCAUCUGCCAUGGGUAUACUGUUCCUGAUCAUGCUUUGUGGACUUUAUGUGAUCCAUUGUGUAUGGGCAGCUGCAGAAGCAUACUCUGCACCCUCAAUUGUGCUGACAUCACGUUCACACAACGGGUUGCAUGUUUAUGACGAUUUCCGUGAAUCUUAUGCAUGGCUGCGCCAUAACACAGAAGUAGACGAUAAGGUUGCGUCAUGGUGGGACUAUGGUUAUCAGACAACUGCAAUGGCCAACAGGACUGUGAUUGUAGACAAUAAUACCUGGAAUAACACGCACAUAGCGACAGUUGGGACAGCAAUGUCAUCCCCAGAAAAAGGAGCAUGGGAGAUCUUCAAUUCCUUAGAUGUCAAAUAUGUGCUUGUGGUCUUUGGAGGGCUUAGUGGCUACCCAAGUGAUGAUAUUAAUAAGUUCCUCUGGAUGGUUCGAAUCGGAGGUGGUGAAUUCCCUCACAUCAAGGAACAGGAUUACCUUAGGGAUGGCAACUACCGUGUUGAUGCUCAGGGCACUCCAACAAUGCUGAAUUGCCUCAUGUACAAGCUUUGUUAUUACAGAUUCGCUGAGACUGAUGGCAAGGGGUUUGACAGAGCGAGAAAAUAUGAAAUAGGAAGGAAGCAUUUUAAACUGACCCAUUUUGAGGAGGUUUUUACAACCCAGCACUGGAUGGUUAGGAUUUACAAACUGAAACCGCAAAAGAACAGGGUCCGAGGAAAGUUGAAACUGAAAUUGAAAUAUAGUUCGAAAACAAGUUUAAUGCGCAAAGGGGCUGGAAAGAAGAACCCAUGGCAGUAG
rnacentral:rRNA from 1 species